AUGAACGCUAGCGGCAGGCUUAAUACAUGCAAGUUGAGGGGCAGCAUGAUAUACGCGAGUAUAUUGAUGGCGACCGGCGGACGGGUGAGUAAUAGGUAGGAGACCUACCUCAUACAGGGGGAUAGCAUAGAGAAAUCUGUGGUAAUACCCCAUGAGGUUAUAUGAAUAGAGGCAUAUAAUCAAAGCAUAAGCGAUUAUGCGGUAUGAGAGGGGCCUACUGACCAUUAGCUAGUUGGUGAGGUAAGGGCUCACCAAGGCGAAGAUGGUAGGGGUUUUGAGAGAGAGACCCCCCACAUUGGAACUGAGAGACGGUCCAGACUCCUACGGGAGGCAGCAGUAGGGAAUAUUGGGCAAUGGGCGAAAGCCUGACCCAGCCAUGCCGCGUGAAGGAAGACGGCCUUAUGGGUUGUAAACUUCUUUACUACGCGAAUAGAGGUUAGUACGAGAUACUAAUAGGAAGGUAGUGUAGUAAAAAGCACCGGCUAACUCCGUG
rnacentral:rRNA from 1 species